GCUCGACCUCGUGGCCCAAUGGAUAGGGUAUCGGUCUUCUAAACCGGGGGUUGCGGGUUCGAUUCCCGCCGACGGUA